rnacentral:rRNA from 1 species
AACGAACGCUGGCGGCAUGCCUAACACAUGCAAGUCGAACGAGACCUUCGGGUCUAGUGGCGCACGGGUGCGUAACGCGUGGGAACCUGCCCUUAGGUUCGGAAUAACUCCCCGAAAGGGGUGCUAAUACCGGAUAAUGUCUUCGGACCAAAGAUUUAUCGCCUUUGGAUGGGCCCGCGUUGGCUUAGCUGGUUGGUAGGGUAAAAGCCUACCAAGGCGACGAUCCAUAGCUGGUCUGAGAGGAUGAUCAGCCACACUGGGACUGAGACACGGCCCAGACUCCUACGGGAGGCAGCAGUGGGGAAUAUUGGACAAUGGGCGAAAGCCUGAUCCAGCAAGGCCGCGUGAGUGAUGAAGGCCUUAGGGUUGUAAAGCUCUUUUACCCGGGAUGAUAAUGACAGUACCGGGAGAAUAAGCUCCGGCUAACUCCGUG